GCCUCUGUAGUCCAAUGGAUAAGACAGCCCUCUCCUAAAGGGCAGAUCCGGGUUCGAUCCCCGGCGGGGGCA
rfam:Arthrobacter sp. A3, complete genome.